CAAGCAUAAGCAAGAAGAAGCAGAAGAGAGAAGCAACAGUUCUCCAUAAAUUUGUCUUUUUCCGCUUUGCUGCUG
rnacentral:precursor_RNA from 1 species